rnacentral:rRNA from 1 species
UCGAACGCUAUCUUUGAUAGAGUGGCGCACGGGUGAGUAACGCGUGGGAACCUGCCUUUCUCUGCGGGACAACGGUUGGAAACGACCGCUAAUACCGCAUACGCCCUACGGGGGAAAGGUCUGCCGGAGAAAGAGGGGCCCGCGUUCGAUUAGCUAGUUGGUGAGGUAAUGGCUCACCAAGGCGACGAUCGAUAGCUGGUCUGAGAGGAUGAUCAGCCACACUGGGACUGAGACACGGCCCAGACUCCUACGGGAGGCAGCAGUGGGGAAUAUUGGACAAUGGGGGCAACCCUGAUCCAGCAAUGCCGCGUGUGUGAUGAAGGCCUUAGGGUUGUAAAGCACUUUCAUUGGUGAAGAUGAUGACGGUAACCAAAGAAGAAGCCCCGGCUAACUUCGUGCCAGCAGCCGCGGUAAUACGAAGGGGGCGAGCGUUGUUCGGAAUUACUGGGCGUAAAGGGCGCGUAGGCGGUCCUUUAAGUUAGGCGUGAAAGCCCCGGGCUCAACCUGGGAACUGCGCUUAAUACUGAGGGACUAGAAAACGGAAGAGGGUAGUGGAAUUCCCAGUGUAGAGGUGAAAUUCGUAGAUAUUGGGAAGAACACCAGUGGCGAAAGCGGCUACCUGGUCCGAUUUUGACGCUGAGGCGCGAAAGCGUGGGGAGCAAACAGGAUUAGAU